rnacentral:rRNA from 1 species
UACGUAGGGAGCAAGCGUUGUCCGGAAUCAUUGGGCGUAAAGCGCGCGUAGGUGGCUUCGUAAGUCCGUUGUGAAAGUCAAAGGCUCAACCUUUGAAAGCCGAUGGAUACUGCGAAGCUAGAGUACGGGAGAGGCGAGUGGAAUUCCUGGUGUAGCGGUGGAAUGCGCAGAUAUCAGGAGGAACACCAAUAGCGAAGGCAGCUCGCUGGGACGUUACUGACACUGAGGCGCGAAAGCGUGGGGAGCGAACAGG